rnacentral:rRNA from 1 species
CACGUAGGGGGCGAGCGUUGUCCGGAAUUACUGGGCGUAAAGAGUACGUAGGCUGUUGUGUAAGUCAGAUGUAAAAGGCAUGGGCUUAACCUGUGUGUGCAUCUGAAACUGUACAACUGGAGAUGUAGAGAGGCAAGCGGAAUUCCCUGUGUAGCGGUGAAAUGCGUAGAUAUAGGGAAGAACACCAGUGGCGAAGGCGGCUUGCUAGCUACAUACUGACGCUGAGGUACGAAAGCCAGGGGAGCGAACCGG